UACGAAGGGGGCUAGCGUUGCUCGGAAUUACUGGGCGUAAAGCGCACGUAGGCGGCUUCUUAAGUCGGCGGUGAAAUCCUGGAGCUCAACUCCAGAACUGCCUUCGAUACUGGGAAGCUCGAGUCCGGGAGAGGUGAGUGGAACUGCGAGUGUAGAGGUGAAAUUCGUAGAUAUUCGCAAGAACACCAGUGGCGAAGGCGGCUCACUGGCCCGGUACUGACGCUGAGGUGCGAAAGCGUGGGGAGCAAACAGG
rnacentral:rRNA from 1 species